CCUACGGGUGGCUGCAGUGAGGAAUAUUGGUCAAUGGACGAGAGUCUGAACCAGCCAAGUAGCGUGAAGGAUGACUGCCCUAUGGGUUGUAAACUUCUUUUAUAUGGGAAUAAAACGUUCCACGUGUGGGAUUUUGUAUGUACCAUAUGAAUAAGGAUCGGCUAACUCCGUGCCAGCAGCCGCGGUAAUACGGAGGAUCCGAGCGUUAUCCGGCUUUAUUGGGUUUAAAGGGGGCGUAGGUGGAUUGUUAAGUCAGUUGUGAAAGUUUGCGGCUCAACCGUAAAAUUGCAGUUGAAACUGGCAGUCUUGAGUACAGUAGAGGUGGGCGGAAUUCGUGGUGUAGCGGUGAAAUGCUUAGAUAUCACGAAGAACUCCGAUUGCGAAGGCAGUUCACUGGACUGCAACUGACACUGAGGCUCGAAAGUGUGGGUAUCAAACAGGAUUAGAUACCCGUGUAGUC
rnacentral:rRNA from 1 species